rnacentral:lncRNA from 1 species
UUACUUAUGUCACUAAUGAAAAUUGUGAUACAAUUAGUAUUAUUCAUAUUCAAUAAUUAUUCUCUCUUUUAAUCCUUAUUGGUUUUACAUUGCGAUAAUAUGAUGUUGCUAGAAGGAAAGGGAGAAAUGGUGGGGGAUGAUUAAUAAACUAUGUAAUAUUUUUUUUAGAGGUGGUAGAUCUUUUAAAACUUCAAAAUCAAUGCAUGUAAUUCAAUAGAGUAAUGAUAUUUCAAUUUUCUAUAGAGAAAGUGUUAGUGGAGGAUAUAGGGAUCUA